ensembl:lncRNA
CUCAGAGCUAGUUAAAGUUGGUGGCUGUCACAGUCUCUGUCCUCCCCAUUGGACCGGCACUAUCUGGAGGAUUGCACAGAGCUGGAAAACAAUAAAUGAGUGUCUAUCAUCUUGAGAUGAUAAGCAUCUGGUGCUAGAGGUAAUAAUGAGAUAAGAAUGAGAUCUGGGGCCUUCAUGCACUUGGCAGAAUUUCACCCUAAAAGUAAGGGAACGCACAGGCGGCAGAUUCUGAUUUUGCACAAAGGGCUUAUAAAACUAACAAUCAACCCUGUCUCUGACUCGUUUCAGUCGCUCUGCCAAGUGUAGCGUUUUAUGUGCUGCAAAAUGUGAAAGGUUUUCUAUGGGUCUUAAAAAGGUCUUAAAAUGUCUUAAUUCACCCUUCCACAAAUAAAGGCCUAAAAAAUGUCUUAAAUCGGAGUAGAAAGUCAAAACUUCAUAAAGUCAUGGCAUUAAAUGUUGCAGGCACUGAAAAAAAAUAAUAAAAUAAAAGCACAAAAAGUAGAAUUUGUGUUUUUUAUUUAAAAAUAUCUAAACUUCUUUAAAUCAAGACAUUUACUUGAAUGAAGAUAGUGAAUGAAGUGUGUUUUUUUUUUUUUUUACAAUAAAACUAAUAUGUGGAAAGCAAGGCAAAAAUACUGAUAAAGAACAAUUUUUUGGAGUGUGAUGAGAUGGUAAAGUCUGUCAUUUCCAUAUUCGAUUUAAGUUUUUUUUUUUCUUUCAGUCAAUCAGGGUGUAGAAAAAACAACUCAUUUUUCUACAUUUACAUAACAUAUUGAUGUAUUCUGUUUCCUUCAAUUUGCUCCUUAAAUUAUGUUUAUUUGGGCUUAAAAAUGACUUAAAAUGUCUCAGAUUGACCUUCAUAAAUCUCUAAAACUCUUGAUUCCUCCUUUCUACAUCUUGGCAAACAGAGGACAGGGAAUUCUGAUACCGAACCUGGAAACUGAGAUAUUCUAAUGAGUUUUGGCUGCUGAUGUUUUUACUCGUCAGAUUUUGUGCACUCAACAGUAAAUUAGUUUCACAUUUAAUGAAGUUUUAAUUAGUUUUUCGAAACCACAAAACUAUUCAGCCACAGCUAUCCGCUGAUUUUUAAAGACAGUUACAAAUGAGUUAACAUGUACUAUAAAUAUGAGAUUACUGCUCCCCUGCUGUGGUCAGAAAGGCAUCUAAUAUUUCCCUGCGCUUAAUCACUGACUUCACUUCACUUAAGGGAAAAGUGCUCCAGUUCUGAAGUGGCCUUAAAUCAUGUACGUUUGAUGAAAGCUGAUGUGUGUAAUUUUUUCAGUGAUAAAAUAUUUUCUAUAAUUCAAGUUUAAUAUGCAGCGACAACUAUAAUUAAGCCAUUUAUAGGUUGAUUUCCCUGAAAAGUGUAACACUGUGAGGUGAUAUCAAAGCCUUGUUUGAGCAACACUGACUCAACCAAUGAGUAUUUUGGGGAGCUUUUUUCCUCUUUCUGUCUCUUAGCUCUAUCUUUGAUGCUGUUUUAUAUAUAUAUAUAUAUAUAUAUAUAUAUAUAUAUAUAUAUAUAUAUAUAUAUAUAUAUAUAUAUAUGUACUGU